CUUUGUUUAUAAUAUACAUAUUAAAUAAGAAAGUGAUGUGACAGUUUAGAAGACAAACAAGAGACGGAGAGCGCAGCGCGGCAAUUGACAUAAAAUCGAAUCGGCGACGCGGGACCUUUUCAAUGUACAACGUUAUCUUUCGAUCCUCGUGAAACUUCUAGCACUGGGGAGUCCGGCACUUUAGAGAGCUGCCUGCGAGAUUAAUUAAUCACACACCACAUUUUGCUGUAUUAUUACUCAUUAAUUCACGAAGACAAAUGGCUCCACUGUAUGCACAUUAAAAGCGAUCAUUGGAUCUUGGUCUCCGAAAAAAGUUUGCGCGACCAAGACACCCGGUUUGUGAAUUAUUCAGCAUCCUAAUGGACGAAUAAUGCUAUGCGACGCCUACGUUACGAAGCGUCAAAGAGAGAUUAGAAUCCAUUUUACUGUGUCGGCUCUCGUGACGGUUUUGCUGCCCAAGAGACUUCAUUCAUUUCACGUCAUCUAAUCGAUCUUUCGACUUCUGGCGUCCAGAGAGUAAAAGU